rnacentral:rRNA from 1 species
UAGAUACCCGCCUAUUCAAGACAUAAAAUAAAAUUGAAUAUUACGAACUACAGUUUAAAAUUCAAAGAUUUUGGCGGUGUCUUAUAAAACCAGGGGAACCUGUCUCAUAACUCGAUAAUCCACGUAUAUUCAACCUUCUCUUGAUCUCAGCAUGUGUACUGCCGUUGUAAGCAUACCUCUAAAAGAAUAGUAUGCCGCUAUGAACUCAUAUACAUCAGGUCAAAGUGCAGCUAAUUAGGAGGGGAUGAUGGGUUACAACCCCAAAAUAGACUAUCAACCAAGAAAUUAAAAAUCUUGAGAAAGUGGACUUGGCCGUAAUUAAUUUACAAGUUAAAAAAAUGAAUAAACAUCUAAGACAUGCACACAUCGCCCGUCACUCUACCCUAAAGGGUAGAUAAGUCGU